rnacentral:rRNA from 1 species
GAUGAACGCUGGCGGCGUGCCUAAUACAUGCAAGUCGAGCGAACGGACGAGAAGCUUGCUUUUCUGAUGUUAGCGGCGGACGGGUGAGUAACACGUGGAUAACCUACCUAUAAGACUGGGAUAACUUCGGGAAACCGGAGCUAAUACCGGAUAAUAUUUUGAACCGCAUGGUUCAAAAGUGAAAGACGGUCUUGCUGUCACUUAUAGAUGGAUCCGCGCUGCAUUAGCUAGUUGGUAAGGUAACGGCUUACCAAGGCAACGAUGCAUAGCCGACCUGAGAGGGUGAUCGGCCACACUGGAACUGAGACACGGUCCAGACUCCUACGGGAGGCAGCAGUAGGGAAUCUUCCGCAAUGGGCGAAAGCCUGACGGAGCAACGCCGCGUGAGUGAUGAAGGUCUUCGGAUCGUAAAACUCUGUUAUUAGGGAAGAACAUAUGUGUAAGUAACUGUGCACAUCUUGACGGUACCUAAUCAGAAAGCCACGGCUAACUACGUGCCAGCAGCCGCGGUAAUACGUAGGUGGCAAGCGUUAUCCGGAAUUAUUGGGCGUAAAGCGCGCGUAGGCGGUUUUUUAAGUCUGAUGUGAAAGCCCACGGCUCAACCGUGGAGGGUCAUUGGAAACUGGAAAACUUGAGUGCAGAAGAGGAAAGUGGAAUUCCAUGUGUAGCGGUGAAAUGCGCAGAUAUCAGGAGGAACACCGAUGGCGAAGGCAGGUUACUGGGCAGUUACUGACGCCGAGGAGCGAAAGCAUGGGUAGCAAACAGGAUUAGAUACCCUGGUAGUCCAUGCCGUAAACGGUGGGCGCUAGGUGUAGGGACCUUUUGGGGUUUCUGUGCCGUAGCUAACGCAUUAAGCGCCCCGCCUGGGGAGUACGGCCGCAAGGCUAAAACUCAAAGGAAUUGACGGGGGCCCGCACAAGCGGCGGAGCAUGUGGAUUAAUUCGAUGCAACGCGAAGAACCUUACCUGGGCUUGACAUACACUGGAUCGCUGCAGAGAUGUAGUUUCCCUUGUGGCUAGUGUACAGGUGGUGCAUGGCUGUCGUCAGCUCGUGUCGUGAGAUGUUGGGUUAAGUCCCGCAACGAGCGCAACCCUUGUCUUAUGUUGCCAGCACGUUAUGGUGGGGACUCAUGAGAGACUGCCGGGGUUAACUCGGAGGAAGGUGGGGACGACGUCAAGUCAUCAUGCCCCUUAUGUCCAGGGCUUCACACAUGCUACAAUGGCCGGUACAAUGCGCAGCGAGCCUGUGAGGGUGAGCUAAUCGCUUAAAGCUGGUCUUAGUUCGGAUUGGGGUCUGCAACUCGACCCCAUGAAGUCGGAGUCGCUAGUAAUCGCAGAUCAGCAAUGCUGCGGUGAAUACGUUCCCGGGCCU